rnacentral:lncRNA from 1 species
CUGCAGUCAUUUGGCCCUGAUCAGGCUAUUGAUCAGUGUGUGCAGAGGCCUAACACAGGUGGCUAACAUCGUUGUUGCUGAAAGCAACAAACCUGACCAUUUUUUUUGUGCAAUCCAAAACAACCUUUUUUUUUUUUUUUUUUUUUUUCACUUGAAAUUUAGCCAAGAAGCCAUAUCAUCAGCUUUUUCACAUUGCUUUAAUUGACUCACAUCUAGUAGCACCUGAACUUUGCCAGGAGGGAAGACUGUGAAGACUGUAAAACCUCUGGUCUUCAUUUUGCAGCACUGAGAGGUGGCUUGUUCCUUGAGAGUCAACUGUUUUCAUGCUAAAAACACUGGAUUGUCAAACUGUCAAAGUCACUGCUGAAGAAGGCUCUGAAUUUUGAAAGCAGCUUCAGAAAAGAACUUUACAAAAAGUAGAGGAAGUUCCCAACUACCUGACACUUAAUGCUGUGAAACUACUGCUGAGUUCUAAAAUGCAAGCCAACAUCCCAAAUCAAAGCCAAGAUAUGAGUACUACCUGCCUGCCAGGUAUGAAAUUCUAUACUGCGGUGACAGUGUUUCUAAUCAAGAAUUGUUGGACUAAAGAAGCAUCUCUCAUAUUCUCUUGACAACCCCCAGAUCAAAUGUGCUAGAAAAUAGAGCCAGAGCAAUAUUCCUG